UGAGGAAUAUUGGUCAAUGGGCGAGAGCCUGAACCAGCCAAGUAGCGUGCAGGAUGACGGCCCUAUGGGUUGUAAACUGCUUUUAUGUGGGGAUAAAGUGCGUGACGUGUCAUGCAUUGCAGGUACCACAUGAAUAAGGACCGGCUAAUUCCGUGCCAGCAGCCGCGGUAAUACGGAAGGUCCGGGCGUUAUCCGGAUUUAUUGGGUUUAAAGGGAGCGUAGGCUGUCUAUUAAGCGUGUUGUGAAAUUUACCGGCUCAACCGGUGGCUUGCAGCGCGAACUGGUCGACUUGAGUAUGCACGAAGUAGGCGGAAUUCAUGGUGUAGCGGUGAAAUGCUUAGAUAUCAUGACGAAAUCCGAUUGCGCAGGCAGCUUACUGUAGCAUAACUGACGCUGAUGCUCGAAAGGGCGGGUAUCAAACAGG
rnacentral:rRNA from 1 species